rnacentral:rRNA from 1 species
CCCGCACAAGCGUGGAGUAUGUGGUUUAAUUCGAUGCAACGCGAAGAACCUUACCUGGUCUUGACAUCCCGGAGACCCUUAGGAAACUAGGGGGUGCUUCCAUCUGGAAGAAUCUGGAGACAGGUGCUGCAUGGCUGUCGUCAGCUCGUGUCGUGAGAUGUUUGGGUUAAGUCCCGCAACGAGCGCAACCCUUGCCUUUAGUUGCCAGCAGUUCGGCUGGGCACUCUAAAGGGACUGCCGGUGUUAAACCGGAGGAAGGUGGGGAUGACGUCAAGUCCUCAUGGCCUUUAUGACCAGGGCUACACACGUACUACAAUGGCCGAUACAAAGGGCAGCGACACUGCGAGGUGAAGCCAAUCCCGUAAAAUCGGUCUCAGUCCGGAUUGGAGUCUGCAACUCGACUCCAUGAAGUUGGAAUCGCUAGUAAUCGUGGAUCAGCAUGCCACGGUGAAUACGUUCCGGGCCUU